UUUCCCGUAAAAUCGCACUUUACCGCCAAUACGCAUUUCCCCACCAAAACUGCAAAAAGAAGCAUUUUAACGCCAAAAUCGUAAAAAUGCAUUUCCUUUCCAAAACCCCAAAAUGCAUUUUCUCAGAAAAACCACAAAAACGAUUUUCCCGCCAAAAUCAUAAGCACACUCUUUUCUACCAAAAUCAUAAAAAUGCAUUUCCCGCCAAAACCGAAAAAAAUCUACUUCCCCGUAAUAUUGCAUUUUCCCAACAAAACUGCAAAAAGGAAUUUUUCCGCCAAAACCGCAAAAACAAAAUUUUCCACCAAAACUACAAAAACGCAUUUUCCUGCCAAAACCGCAAAAAACGCAUUUUUCUAUCUAAACCACAAAACGAAUUUUUUCCACAAAAAAAAACACAAAACAAAU
rnacentral:lncRNA from 1 species